GGUUGAGCCCACCGAACAGCAAGUAGCGCACGGGUCAACCCAACCCCUCGCUCUCCCUCCCUGUCUCGCCCAAUGGAGAGAGAGAGCUAGAGCGAGAGCUCUCCUCCUCCCUUCGAGAUCACGGCCGUCACCUCCCUUCUGAGGAGCUUGCCACCUCCCUCCUCCUCUCGCCCACGGCCUCCCCCACGCCCUCCUCCUCUCGCCCCUCCCCUUCCCUCACUAGAAGGGAGAGAAGAACUAGAGGGAGGGAGAUCCAUCCUGAUCCAUUCGGGGCUAGGGUUCGGGCGGGGCGUCGCCGGUGGCCUCUCUGCCCUUCUUCGACCGGAUCCGCCACCCCCACCUCACCUCCAUCUCUCAGCCCACCUCGCACGAGCGCCCGGAUGGUGGUGCGCGAGCCUCACUAGGAGGGAUAUCCAUCUGGAUCGGAACUAGGUGGUGCAUGAGAGGCCGGAGCGCGCCGCCCACCUCACGCACACGGCGCUCGACGCGCUCGCCACCAUCUGCAACCCGCCGGUCAAUGCUCUGCACCCCAUCAGUAAGCACCACGCCCUCCUGCCCGUCCCUCCUCCGUCGGGCCUCCUUCCUCCUGCUACUCUAUCUAACGCCGUGGCCCGAUUUCGGUUGGCCCCCCUUCUCUGUGAAGUCAUCUAGGGGCUCAACUAGAAGAACGCCUUCGGCCUUCGGCCGCGAUGACAUCAUUGCCGCCGUGCUCACCGGUGAGAUUUCCCUCGGUUCACCACACCCCUUCCCCCUCCAAGAUGAUUUUUCAUGUGAUUGUUGGUGGAAUUGAAGUUAGUGAGUAGCGAUUCAUGUUCUGCUCUGUUUGGAUGUUGUUCUGUCUGCUCUCAAAUCCGUUGACCGCCCAGCUGUUUCGAUGUGUUUGCCUCCCUAUGCGUGGAGUCCAUCUAUCAAGAAAUGUUAGAUGAAAUGAAAUCCUCAUGUUUAUUCCCACUGUUUCACUAGUAGGACAAAUUGUUCACAUCUGGAGUUAAAACUUGUUUUUGAGCAAACACUGUGUUUGUGCUCUAGUUUAACAUUUUGGCUGAUGCAGUUUUGUUAGGUAUGAAUAUGGUUGUUGUUCCUCGUGUCAUGCAAGUUUAUCUGCAGUGCAGAUAGUAAAUUAUACUUGUAGUCUAACUUGUGAUAUGAAUGAUCUUUAUUGGCCAAAUCAUCAUGUGGUUCUUGAUAGUUGUUAUAUGUAAUCAGCAUGUCAUAUGCACAUUUUUGCUCUUUUUUUGCUUCUGCAAUAUAUAUAUAUAUUGCUUGAGCAUGAUUAUAGUUGUUGAAUCGCCAGUGCACGCCAACUCUUGACAGUGGCAGCCACAUCUUAAUCCUGCAGUUUUUUAUUAACUAGAUUAUCAGCAAAAUUAUGAUGCUCUAGACUAGGGGAGUUUUACAGGCUUAAAAAUAGUUAAUAAAAAAUGACCCCUGAAUGCUAGAAUCCUAAGUGAACACCCGGGAGCAAUGAAAAAUGAGAACAACAGUGGUGCGUUGCAUUGGGUCAAGUUCCUUGUAGAUUAUCUUCAUAUUUCAAGAACAGUUGAGAUGAAGGAAUAAUAAUUAGUCCAUGGAAGACAUGUUACAACAAUGCAAAAAAUUUAUUUUAGGGACCAAUGCAGCAAGUUAUUGCAUCAUUCUGUUAUUUAUUGUUAAAUAUGCUGUUAGAUUUACUUUUAUUUUGUUCCUAACUAUUUUUUCUAUAACGUGCAGAUGUUGGCGUUUCAUGUUUCUUCGUGAGCAUCAGGACAAAGAAAUCGGAAGAAGCAUAGUUCUCGGAGUAAUGAAGCCCUUUAAGUUGAUCCUAUUUGUAUCUAUGUAAUAUGAUUGUAAACUUGUAGAGAAGAUUGCUUCUUGUUGUUAUCUGAUUGUAAACUUCAUGCUGAUCACAUUUGUAUAUGCGUUAUAUGAUGUAGCAGAUUAUAUUGCUUCUUGUUGUAAUUUGAAGUAUUGCGUCUGUGUUUUGUCUAUUUUGAUUUAAAUACUGUUUGUUUAGUUAACGUCAUAUUUAUUGAAAUAUGAAGAACAUGACCUUGACAACAAGGACCUACAAACU
rnacentral:lncRNA from 1 species